rnacentral:rRNA from 1 species
AGUGAACGCUGGCGGUAGGCCUAACACAUGCAAGUCGAACGGCAGCACAGUAAGAGCUUGCUCUUACGGGUGGCGAGUGGCGGACGGGUGAGGAAUACAUCGGAAUCUACUUUUUCGUGGGGGAUAACGUAGGGAAACUUACGCUAAUACCGCAUACGACCUACGGGUGAAAGCAGGGGAUCUUCGGACCUUGCGCGAUUGAAUGAGCCGAUGUCGGAUUAGCUAGUUGGCGGGGUAAAGGCCCACCAAGGCGACGAUCCGUAGCUGGUCUGAGAGGAUGAUCAGCCAAACUGGAACUGAGACACGGUCCAGACUCCUACGGGAGGCAGCAGUGGGGAAUAUUGGACAAUGGGCGCAAGCAUGAUCCAGCCAUACCGCGUGGGUGAAGAAGGCCUUCGGGUUGUAAAGCCCUUUUGUUGGGAAAGAAAAGCAGCAGGUUAAUACCCCGCUGUUCUGACGGUACCCAAAGAAUAAGCACCGGCUAACUUCGUG